rnacentral:rRNA from 1 species
AAGACCUUGCACUUUUGGAGCGGCCGAUGUCUGAUUAGCUAGUUGGUGGGGUAAUGGCCUACCAAAGCGUCGAUCAGUAGCUGGUCUGAGAGGACGGCCAGCCACACUGGGACUGAGACACGGCCCAGACUCCUACGGGAGGCAGCAGUGGGGAAUUUUGGACAAUGGGCGCAAGCCUGAUCCAGCCAUGCCGCGUGAGUGAAGAAGGCCUUCGGGUUGUAAAGCUCUUUCAGCCGGGAAGAAAAGGUUGCGAUUAAUAAUCGCAAUUUAUGACGGUACCGGAAGAAGAAGCACCGGCUAACUACGUGCCAGCAGCCGCGGUAAUACGUAGGGUGCGAGCGUUAAUCGGAAUUACUGGGCGUAAAGGGUGCGCAGGCGGUUUUGUAAGUCAGAUGUGAAAUCCCCGGGCUUAACCUGGGAACU